GGCAGAACAAAGAGCUACUUCUUUAUAUUCUAAUCUCUGCCAUGGUUUCAGAGUUCUAAGUUCUGUGCUUCUCACAUAAGCAUGGCUGUUUCCAGUCCAAGGGCCACAGAUGCUCGUCACAGAGAAAGAAGACAGAACAGAAGCAUUCUAUCCCAUCAUGCCUAUGCGCUUGAGCUUGCAACCGUCUUUCAGACUAGCCUGCAGACUCUUCUCUGCCUCUAACAACAACGGCAUCCACCUUUAGCGUGGGGUGGGCAACUUCAUCAAAACAGGCACACGCAUCUAACCUUGUUGACCAAGCAGUCAUCACCAA